rnacentral:rRNA from 1 species
GGCUUAGAGUUUGAUCAUGGCUCAGGAUGAACGCUGGCGGCGUGCCUAACACAUGCAAGUCGAACGGAGUCAAUUGAGGAAGUUUUCGGAUGGAAUCAGCUGACUUAGUGGCGGACGGGUGAGUAACGCGUGGGAAACCUGCCCUGUACUGGGGGAUAACACUUAGAAAUAGGUGCUAAAACCGCAUAAGCGCACGGGAUCGCAUGGUCUUGUGUGAAAAACUCCGGUGGUACAGGAUGGUCCCGCGUCUGAUUAGCCAGUUGGCAGGGUAACGGCCUACCAAAGCGACGAUCAGUAGCCGGCCUGAGAGGGUGGACGGCCACAUUGGGACUGAGACACGGCCCAAACUCCUACGGGAGGCAGCAGUGGGGAAUAUUGCACAAUGGGGGAAACCCUGAUGCAGCGACGCCGCGUGAGUGAAGAAGUAUUUCGGUAUGUAAAGCUCUAUCAGCAGGGAAGAAAAUGACGGUACCUGAGUAAGAAGCCCCGGCUAACUACGUGCCAGCAGCCGCGGUAAUACGUAGGGGGCAAGCGUUAUCCGGAUUUACUGGGUGUAAAGGGAGCGUAGACGGUGAAGCAAGUCUGGAGUGAAAACCCGGGGCUUAACCCCGGGAUUGCUUUGGAAACUGUUUAACUGGAGUGCAGGAGAGGUAAGCGGAAUUCCUAGUGUAGCGGUGAAAUGCGUAGAUAUUAGGAGGAACACCAGUGGCGAAGGCGGCUUACUGGACUGUAACUGACGUUGAGGCUCGAAAGCGUGGGGAGCAAACAGGAUUAGAUACCCUGGUAGUCCACGCGGUAAACGAUGAUUGCUAGGUGUAGGUGGGUAAGGACCCCAUCGUGCCGCAGCUAAACGCAUAAGCAAUCCACCUGGGGAGU